GGGGUUGGUCGCCGCGGCAGUUUCAAUCACUCAACUUCAAAGGAGCAAUUCUCACGACUGGAUCACUGGAUUGCAAUGAGAUUUGUUGGAGCAGGAGCGCCUUUAAGUUAACCUUGUAACAACUUACGAAUCAUUCAAUUUGGAGCUAAUGAAAAUUUUUGGCGAAUUUUGGAGUAGAAGGGAGUCGCUGGCUUCAAUCCUUGGCGUUG
rnacentral:lncRNA from 1 species